UGGGGAAUAUUGCACAAUGGGGGAAACCCUGAUGCAGCGACGCCGCGUGGAGGAAGAAGGUCUUCGGAUUGUAAACUCCUGUUGUUGAGGAAGAUAAUGACGGUACUCAACAAGGAAGUGACGGCUAACUACGUGCCAGCAGCCGCGGUAAAACGUAGGUCACAAGCGUUGUCCGGAAUUACUGGGUGUAAAGGGAGCGCAGGCGGGAAGACAAGUUGGAAGUGAAAUCUAUGGGCUCAACCCAUAAACUGCUUUCAAAACUGUUUUUCUUGAGUAGUGCAGAGGUAGGCGGAAUUCCCGGUGUAGCGGUGGAAUGCGUAGAUAUCGGGAGGAACACCAGUGGCGAAGGCGGCCUACUGGGCACCAACUGACGCUGAGGCUCGAAAGUGUGGGUAGCAAACAGGAUUAGAUACCCUGGUAGUCCACACCGUAAACGAUGAUUACUAGGUGUUGGAGGAUUGACCCCUUCAGUGCCGCAGUUAACACAAUAAGUAAUCCACCUGGGGAGUACGACCGCAAGGUUGAAACUCAAAGGAAUUGACGGGGGCCCGCACAAGCAGUGGAGUAUGUGGUUUAAUUCGACGCAACGCGAAGAACCUUACCAAGUCUUGACAUCCCUUGACAGACAUAGAAAUAUGUAAUCUCUUCGGAGCAAGGAGACAGGUGGUGCAUGGUUGUCGUCAGCUCGUGUCGUGAGAUGUUGGGUUAAGUCCCGCAACGAGCGCAACCCUUAUGGUCAGUUACUACGCAAGAGGACUCUGGCCAGACUGCCGUUGACAAAACGGAGGAAGGUGGGGAUGACGUCAAAUCAUCAUGCCCUUUAUGACUUGGGCUACACACGUACUACAAUGGCGUUAAACAAAGAGAAGCAAGACCGCGAGGUGGAGCAAAACUCAGAAACAACGUCCCAGUUCGGACUGCAGGCUGCAACUCGCCUGCACGAAGUCGGAAUUGCUAGUAAUCGUGGAUCAGCAUGCCACGGUGAAUACGUUCCC
rnacentral:rRNA from 1 species